rnacentral:rRNA from 1 species
UACGUAGGGGGCAAGCGUUGUCCGGAAUCAUUGGGCGUAAAGAGCGUGUAGGCGGCUCGGUAAGUCCGCUCUGAAAGCCCGGGGCUCAACCCCGGGAGGCGGGCGGAUACUGUCGGGCUAGAGUCCGGAAGAGGCGAGUGGAAUUCCUGGUGUAGCGGUGAAAUGCGCAGAUAUCAGGAGGAACACCAAUGGCGAAGGCAGCUCGCUGGGACGGUACUGACGCUGAGACGCGAAAGCGUGGGGAGCAAACAG